rnacentral:rRNA from 1 species
GGACCCGCACAAGUAGUGGAGCAUGUGGUUUAAUUCGAAGAUACGCGCAGAACCUUACCAACACUUGACAUGUUCGUCGCGACUUUAAGAGAUUAAAGUUUUCGGUUCGGCCGGACGAAACACAGGUGCUGCAUGGCUGUCGUCAGCUCGUGUCGUGAGAUGUUGGUUAAGUCCCGCAACGAGCGCAACCCUCACUUUUAGUUGCCAUCAUUAAGUUGGGCACUCUGAAAGAACUGCCAGUGAUAAGCUGGAGGAAGGUGGGGAUGACGUCAAGUCCUCAUGGCCCUUACGUUCUGGGCUACACACGUGCUACAAUGGCCGGUACAGAAAGCAGCCACUAUGCGAAUAGGAGCU